rnacentral:lncRNA from 1 species
AUGGACGCAAGCAGCCCCUCGUGGCGCAAACCGAAGGGGGGCUGCUCACGGCACAGCCCCUCGGUGCUGGGGGUGGCGAGGGGCUGUAAGGAUGGGGCUGUACGGAUGGGUUCUGCCCUUCUGCGAGGUCUUCUGCCUCUCGUGUUUCUCGGCUGGGGGGUAACCUUCAAGCCAGGCUGGCCUUUAGCACCUGGCCGCAUCGCUCAGCGCGCGCGGGGCUGCUGCGCCCAGGGCGAGCGUGCUCCCAUCUGCUCCCUUCCCUCUUCCCGGUCCGGUUACAAUAGCCCAUUCACAAAACCAGCCCGGGUCAUAAAGCAGGGGCACGGGGCAGGGGAGGAGGGAAAGAGCUCUGAAAACCCCCCUCUAGAUAGGGAAAACGCAGGCAGAACCCUCAGUGCUGGUGGAGAAGGAGGGGGGAAAAAACACAUCCGUGCCCACGGCGCUGCUCAGGGGUGCAGCGAUGCCUCGGGUGGGGAGCUUGGGGAUGGAGCUGGUGCCGUCUGUGCUGCUCCUGCAGCCAUCUGCUCUUCGUGGAGCCAGCGGGGAUCAGGCUGUGGAGGAAGGGGCCAUGGCUGGGGGCUGUGGGUUGGGGAAAGAGGUCCCAAGGGUGGCACGAAUCGCCUUUGUACCCCCGGGGAGGUACCCAAAGGGGAUGGGUAUCUCGUGGGAGUGUUGCCCCAAGGAUGCUUGGUGGGAGCUGUUUGUGUCCUGGCUCCGUGCUGGUGUCCCUGGGGUCUGCCUGGAGCCGGCGGGGGGCUCAGCAGCAGCACACGCGGGCUGGGGAGGGAGGUGCUGGAGCCAAGGGAGGCGCUGAAGCCGCGAUGUGCAGGGUCCGGGUGUCUGCGGGCAGAGGCGGUGAUUUACCUCCCGGCAGAACAAGGAGUCCCUGUCUGGUGCUGGCAGAGGAGCUGGGGCGGGCGGCUCGGCUCCUGUUUCCACAGGGGGGGCUGGAGCAGGAUCGGUGCUGCAGAGCCAGCAUCCCCUGCCCCGAGCCUGGAUACGCGGAGCUGA